GCUAGAUAUGGUGGUACAUGCCUGUAAUCCCAGCUACUUGGGAAGCUGAGACAGGAGGUUUGCAAGUUUCAGGCCAGCCUGGAUAACUUAGUGAAAAGCUGUCUCAA
rnacentral:sRNA from 1 species